GAGACUGUUGUUAAAUACACAAAACCUGAAGCAGUCAACAAUCUCACUGUCACUGAGGUAACAACAACCUCUGUGUCUUUGAAUUGGACUGAACCUGAGGGGAAAAGGCUGUUUUAUACAGUAAAGAGGGAAAAUGAAAACAAACAUUUGAAUACAAGUGAGACUCAGGCGAAUGUGACUGAACUGACUCCUGGAGAGAACUACUGUUUUAAUGUCACGGCUGUGGCUACAGACAACAAAACAGAGAGUGAUGAGAGAAACAUUUGUGCAUUUACAAAACCUGAAGUAGUCACAAAUCUCAGUGUCUUUAAUGUAACAACAUCAUCUCUAUUUGUGUACUGGACAAAACCAAAGGGAAGCAGCUU